UUCACGCUAAUAAAAAUAUUCGACAUAGUUCUCGAAGCAAUCAACCAUUUCUGCGCUUUCUUUCACCGACAAAUAAAGAACAACUCAAAGUCUCUCUAUUUUGUUUUAUUUUUUGCUUCCAAACCUGAUUUCUUGGCACCUUUAAGUUCAAUUUUACAGUUCUAUUGUCUUCUCAACAAUAUCUUUCGUAAUUGGAUGCUCCAAAAUCAAGUUUGGAUUACCAUUCCUAAAGACCAUCAUGGCCAGAAGCAAGCCAUUGAAGAGGAUUUUGACUAUGAGCACAGUGGGUUCGAGCCACUGUUCUAGGAGCAAAUGGCGAAUUAGUUUCUAUUGCAUCUUUUGUCAGUUCUCUAUUUGUCCUCACUGUCGAUUUCAAUUUCUCUGCUAUUUCUUUGAACUUCCAUAUAAUUAUUUCAAGAGUUUUAGUUUCCUCUUGUGCAUUAAUUGACUAAUGCUGCUUGUUGUGCUGGUUAGGAAAAUUGUGGAUGUAUUUAGACGAAAAAGAUUAAAUUUGUUUCAGAUAUUGUAAUUCUUGGGUCCUCUCAAAGAUGUUGUGACAAGCAUAUGUCCUACAAUUUCUUGUCAACCUCCUCUCAAUAUAUCUCCCUAUUUUCUUUUUAAGUGUUAUAAUCAAGAUAAUAAAAGGAUAGAACAAUAUGUUACUGACAAAAGUUCAAAAUUGUUGCUUAGAGCUUAGAAUUAUAAUGCUAUUUAUAAUGUAAAGAUCAGCAAAAGUGGAUACAUUUGAAAAAUAAGAGCUUCCAACUAUUUGAAAGUUGUAGACAAAAACAACAACAUACUCAGUGUAGUCCCACAAAAUGAUGUUUGCACUUUGUGGAGGGUAGAGUGUAUGCAAAACCUUAGUUAUGCCUUAGAGGUAAAGAGAAUGUUGUAUUAUUGAUGACAUGAAAUUAAUGAUAUGAAAAUUGAUCUUGCUUUGGCCUACUUAAAGGAAGGAAUAUUCAAUAGCUAAUACGCUUUCAUACUUUUUUUCAAACUGUAAACUUUAUAUGCUUCUCUAUUUUGAGUAUUUGUUCUUCAAUAUUCUCCUUUAUGUUGUGUUAAGCUACAGUUGAGACAAUUAAAGGAGCAAAUAUACUCCUUACUCUACAAAUUCAUGUGUCACCUUAGGCUUCUUAUAUGACCUCAUAUGUGACGAGACUCAGUACUGAGGUGCACAUUAUUUUGUCGCUCCUCCUUGGGUAAACACUGAAGAUAAUCUUCGCUAUGAAGUUUAUUUGGUUCAUGUUUCUCUUUUUUUUAUUUCAAUAAUUUGAAGUAAAUAUAAUUUUUUUUUACCAUAGUUGUGUGAAAAAAUACUUGACUAAUUUGUAGACGGAAUCAUAUUCAUGGGCAACUGCACUUUCUCAAAGCAUUUAAAUGUAUAAAGGUGAAACAAAAAGUGAUCGCAUGUGCUUUGUGUUAAAGAGAUAAAAUGUUGCUGCAUUAUAUGUUUACGAACUAAUAAAUUAUAUUGAUGAAAAUUUGUUGGUUAAGAGAUUAUUGCACCUAGCUAUGUAACUUAUUAUGCCGCCACAGUACUGCACUCUUUAAUGUAUGAUUACAUAGGAGUUGUAUUAAUAAAGUUAUUUGUUAUCUUUAAUUUCAAGAACUCUGGAGUUACAAUUACAAGCAGCAUAAACCUACAAAGGUAAAUGAUGCUAUAUUACUUCACCCAAUCAAGGCAUAAACUAUUACUUUCUACGUUAUUGAUAUAACUAAUAUUCUAUAAGUGACAUUAUCAUGAAUGAAGUAAAUUGGACAUUGUUAAUUGAUGUCAACUCAUUUGAGUGUUUUGGAUUUGCCGAUGCUUACCUAGAGUUUGUUUAAGUGUACUCUCAAUUAGACAUAGAGCAAGAUCAAAUGAAGAUAGACAACGCAACAUGAGGACAGAACCAAGAACAGGAAAAAGAUAACGAGGAACAACUGCCAAAUUCAUUCCAGACAGUAGUAACCUUGGCUAUUUCAUUUUCAUCGAGUAUCAUUGUGCCAAUUUUCUUUGCUGCAUUUGUAGCAAAUUAUAAGGUGAGAUUAGUUGUGAAUGGUGAAUGUGGUUGCAAUGAGCUUGUCAGUUGUCAUUGUUAGGAUUUGGAGGAAUUGGUACUUUUUAAGCACAAGUCCUAUGGUGAAAUCUUGUCCAAGAGUUUUAAUUGGAGGCAAGAUGGUUAUGGUCAUUACCUGUUGCCUUGUUAAGUUAAUUGGCUCUACUACAAGUAUUUCUUUCUAUUUUGGAUCUACUGUAAGUUUUUUUUUUUUAAAAAAAGAAUUAAUUCAAUGGACCAAUGCUUAUUUCAAAUGCCGAAAAAAAGAAGUGGUUCUAAAUUGCAUUUAAAACACGUUAUUGUUGUACAUGGUGAUUGAAUAGGAGUGAAUAAAGACUAAUUUUAUCACGGGUCUCCUUGAAUACUUUCUAUUCAAAAUAUGGGGAUUUCACUCCAUCAUGCAAGUUGUUUGAUUUUUCUCACAAUAAAUAUUUUUCUUUAUUAAGAAAACACAGUGUGUUAAAAGCCAUUAUGUUACCCAAGAUCCUCGAGCAAAAAGAAUAUAAUUUGCCCACGUAGCAAGUAAACCAUUUAAGUUCUUGGUUUACUUACUAUGAAAUCUACAUCUUCGAGUUUUUACCCCCUUUUAAUGUUCCAAAUUUAUCUCUCUUUCUAAUGUUUCUUACGAUCAUCUUUACUGUCAGUUAAUAAAGCCUAAUGUCGUUUCAUUAUUUCUUUGCUAUCUUCAGCACAUUCUUAAUUGAUUUUGAUUUGUUUGGACUUUGUUCUUUCGGAUGCAUUCUUGAUUUGGUCAAGUUAUAUUCGAUUAUGUGUUUUUCAAUUUUAAUGGGCAUUGAGUUCUUAAAGUUAUACUUUUCAUGCUUACGAAAAAAAGCAUCAAUCAAUUAAUAGAAGGAUAAUUUUGAUCACCAGUGCAGAUUUGGUCCUAAUUAAGAAUGAAAAGGUGAGAUAAGGAGAAAUCAAUGAGAGACAUCAAAUAACUGUGCCAUAGUAAUGCAAACUUAUCAGCUGAACAUUAAUUAGUCUUUCAACGCCUGGGAAGGCAGUCGUAGAAACGAAGCCUAUCGCCACGCAGGACAUUAAGAGUCACACUCUUAAGGUUGCAGUCAUCAGAACCCACACAAAUAUUGCCUAUGGUAUGAUUUGUUAUUUGCUUUCAAGUGUAGAGGUUUGUUUUUAUUUGUGCAUAACAUGUCUGAUAAAUAAGAGAAUGAUCUAUUGAUUCUAAGUAAAUAUGAGUUAAACUUACCUUCUGUGACAUAUCCUUAUUAUAUAAUACUAUCAACACUUUUAGCUGAUUGAUAAAGUUUUGUCUAAUCUCCAUUUUAUUUGUCUCUUCUCUUUGUUUUGUUUAAUUUUACGUUCUCUUUGGAGGUAUUAAUAUUUUAAUUUAAACAAACACACUGAAAUUGCAUUGUUCAUGGACUAUAAUGAUGACCAGAUUAUUUGUGAAGACGUCAUUGCAUGUGUAAUUGAAAAGUUCUCCACACCACUGAUAGUAUUUAUAUUUUUCCCUAAACUUGACCAUGGACAUGUAAAGAAUAAGUAGUGGAUUAUACUGGUACACUGAACACAGUACGAAUAUCAUCUUUUACCAGUUAACUUACAAAAAACAAUGGUGCUUACAAGUAGAACAAUUUGAAUUAUUUCAGUUGCAACUUGAACACUGAUACCAAAUGCUUUGUUUUUCUUGUUGAAGCCACUCAAUCCUUUUUGCAAGCCCAAAAUGCAAAAUAUUGUCAUCAUCAAGUUUGCUUCUUUUUUUUUAAUGUUGUGAUAAUACACUACACCGAAAAUGAUCUUUAGUAGCAAUUAAUUAGUGAAGAGAGCUUAAUUGUUGCUAAAUAUGUUCUUAGAGGCAAUUAACAUUCUUUGUAAAUGUCUCUAAAGCCUAUUGAGACAUAGGAUCCAAUUACAAUUAACUAAUGCUUGUAACGGCUUUAGCACUCUUUGUUAAUGUGCAUGUUUAUUGCCGCUAAUAGUUUUUCUUUUUGUAGUUAUAGCUACUGUGAAUAUAUUACAAAAUGUGAGAUGGAUCAAUACUUGAAAGAUUUUGACUGAUCUCUUUCCAUAAUCAAACGGGUGGUUCUCCCUCAUAUGUUCGAUCAUCAUAACUAUCAUUAGAUUUUUGUUGACAUAACAACUUAUUCCCAUCUCUAGGAGUUGAGCAAAGAGUAUCUUAAUUUAUCAGAGGAAAACCAUAAUGCAUUGCACCUUGUUCUAACAAAUGAUCGCUCUUAAUACCGUUCUCUGCGUAAUUCUUGCCAUCUUCAUAAAUAAGGUAUGUUCGAUCCUCGCUACUCAAUAAUUUCACAAGCCCAAAAUGCAAAAUAUUGUCAUCAUCAAAUUUGCAUUUUUUCUACUAGUGUAAUAUUAGCUACUUGUGAAUUAUGAAAAAAGGAGGAGGUAAAUGCUUUGGCCCUAAUGAAAUAUGAGAUUGUUUACAUUUAGGUUAUAUGUUAAUGUUGACUAUUUACCCCAACUUUUGCUAUAACUAUCAAUUUCUAAUGGAUUAGUUUUUUAUUAUGGGAAAGUUGAACGUUGUCUUUCGAGAUCUUUAUUGUGGUCCCAGCAGGCCAGCACUUGUAAUUAUUAUAAUAUUUCGUUGUAAAUCAAUGAUAUAAUUGAGAAUAAUUUAAAACUUGAAACAGUGCUGCUAUUUUACUUUUGUUUUUAUAAAUAUAACAUGAUAAUAUAUUAACGAGGAUACCGACCAGUAUUAUCUGGACUAAUAUGAGAAAAAUAGAACUCAUAAAUGGUACAUGAAAGACUUCAUAUGUGCUUUUCAUUUUUUUUUCUACCUUGGUUCUAAACAUGGAUCUCUUUUUUCUUUGGAGCAUGUAUAGUUUAUUAACUUGUGUAAUCAUGUUGCGAGACCAAUGAACCUAAGCAAAAUGAUUUUUAUGGCUUUAUUCCAUUGAGGGUAUUUUCAUUUUAUUUUUUAUAAGAAACAUGUAUUAUAUCUAUAAUUUUAUUUGCCUGUACUAAAAAUUACAUACAAAUAUGACAAGUUUCUCCUCAAA